UCGCUCCCUUAUCUCACUCUCCUACAUGGUAAAUUUCCCUCUUUUCUUCUUAAAAAGAGUUGGGACCCCUAGAGAGCCUCCUCCCCAAACGUGUGCCUAGUGCGUGCACGGAUAUGCCUACCUCCAAAUGGUUUUAUGCCCACCGUGAGGAGGGACAAAGGGCACCAACGAGCCUAGAGCCUACUCCCAACCAUUCUUUCCUAAACUUUUACUGGCCAGCCGGACCCAAGACAGAUGAAGGCAGAGCACAGGCAUCUUUAAGGCGUCUGCAUACACAGGAGGAAGUCAGAAGGGAGAGGGAGAGCGCUGAAAGGCAGAGGCCCUGCUGUGGUGGCUCCGGGUUGUACCUCUAGACGCUCCCACUGGAUCCCCACGUGCUCCAAAAAUGGGAGGCAGAGACUCCGGCGAAAGCUUUUUAUAUCUACGAGCUCCGCUCUCUACAGUGAGCAGAAGAAGGCGGAGGGAGGGGGUUCCUAGAAAGGAUGCGCAUCACCCAGGUUUUACUGCUGGCUGGAAGGCUGUGUGAGAUGCCCUAAGCAGCUGGGGCGGUCAGGACCGCAGCGGCGACAACAGUGGCCAAGUCUGCCUGUCAUUUCUGCCUUCGGAUCUCCGGCAAGUCAGGAAAAAAUAAAUAAAUAAAACACAGCUGGCCCGCGGGAGCAAAAUACCCAGGUCAGUGAAUAUCGUUA